GAAACAAAAGAGACGUACGUUGGUAGCAUGUGCCUCUCGUCUCCAGUGAGUCUGUCACACCACAUGUCUCCGAAAGAACAGCUUAGAUUUCUUAUGGAGUUCAUCUUGAUAAAGGCCCCGUUUUCAUUUGGGCUGCCAAAACUCAUCACGAUUAGAGCUCAAAGUGUCACAAAUCCUGACAAGAGAGCAAACAACAUGCUACGUUUGGAAGAUCUGAAGAUCCACGGGAACAAACCUACCCUUUUUUUGACGUUUUUCGAUUUUGACAAAGCUGAUAAUCUGGUUAGCCAAACGAAAAUCACGGAUGAAGAAAUCUUACCAUGGAAACGAACGAAGAAGGCAUGUGUGGAAAUGGACCUAUCAUCUUCUCCAAAUGUCAGCAAGGGAUAUGCUUUGUUGGUGAAGCUUCUAGAAGUCAAUUCCAUUCGAAUGAUUCAAUAUCAGCCCGAGGACAGAAGAUGGAUGACAAGAACCAUUCUGAGAGGAGAUAUCCUAACAA